GCUAAGCCCUAAACAUUGAUAGUAAUUUUUACAGUACUUUCCGCCAGAGAACUACAAGUGAAAAACUUGAAACUCAAAGGACUUGACGGUGUCCCAUAUCGACCUAGAGGAGCCUGUCCUAUAAUCGAUACCCCCCGUUCCACCCAACCCCAACUAGCAAAAUAUCAGCCUAUAUACCGCCGUCGACAGUCUACCCCAUGAGGGCUCAACAGUAGACACAAUAGCCUUAACGCUAAUACGUCAGGUCAAGGUGUAGCAGAUGUUGGGGAAAAGAUUGGCUACAUUUUUUAUGAUAAAAAACACGAAUUGCACUAUGAAACACUGCAUGAAGGUGAAUUUAGUAGUAAAACAGACAAGAGUGUCUGUUUUAACAACGCUCUGGGACGCGU
rnacentral:rRNA from 1 species